UACGGGGGGGGUAAGCGUUGUUCGGAAUCACUGGGCGUAAAGCGCACGUAGGCGGAUGUGCCAGUCAGGGGUGAAAUCCCGGAGCUCAACUUCGGAACUGCCUCUGAUACAGCACGUCUUGAGUCCGGAAGAGGUGGGUGGAAUUCCUAGUGUAGAGGUGAAAUUCGUAGAUAUUAGGAAGAACACCGGUGGCGAAGGCGGCCCACUGGUCCGGUACUGACGCUGAGGCGCGAAAGCCAGGGGAGCAAACGGGG
rnacentral:rRNA from 1 species